AUCUCUCCCUCCCUCUCCUUUCUCUCUUUCCAUCCAUCUCUCUCUCUCCCUCUCCUGUGUCUCUCCAUCCAUCUCUCUCUCUCUCCCUCUCCUGUGUCUCUCCAUCCAUCUCUCUCUCUCUCCCUCUCCUGGGUCUUUCCAUCAUCUCUCUCUCUCUCCCUCCCCUAUGUCUCUCUAUCCAUCUCUCUCUCCCUCCUCUCUCUCCAUCCAUCUUUCUCUCCCUCACCUCUCUCUCUCCAUCCAUCUUUCUCUCCCUCUCCUCUCCCUCUCCAUCCAUCUCUCUCUCUCCCUCUCUCUCUCCAUCCAUCUCUCUCUCCCUCUCCUCUCUCUCUCCAUCCAACUCUCUCUCCCUCUCCUCUCUUUCUUUCCAUCCCUAUCUCUCUCUCUCUCCAUCCAUCUCUCUGUCCCCCUCUCCUCUCUCUCUCCACCCAUCUCUCUCUCUCCCUUUUCUCUCUCUCCAUCCAUCUCUCUCUCCCUCUCCUCUCUCUCUCUCCCCCUCUCCUCUCUCUCUCCAUCCAUCUCUCUCUCUCUCCCCCCUCUCUCCAUCCAUCUCUCUCUCUCCCUCUCCUCACUCUCUCUCCCCCUCUCUCCAUCCAUCUCUCUCUCCCCCUCUCCUCUCUCUCUCCAUCCAUCUCUCUCUCUCCCUCUCCUCUCUCUCUCUCCCCCUCUCCUCUCUCUCUCCAUCCAUCUCUCUCUCUCCCUCUCCUCUCUCUCUCUCCCCCUCUCCUCUCUCUCUCCAUCCAUCUCUCUCUCUCCCUCUCCUCACUCUCUCUCCCCCUCUCUCCAUCCAUCUCUCUCCCUCUCCUCUCUCUCUCCAUCCAUCUCUUUCUCUCUUCCCCACAGUACUGGCUUCUGCCUCUUUUUCCUUCUUAAGCAGAUAGUCAUCCUGUUGGCGGAAGCAGAGAUGUGCGUAUGUGGUAGUGUGUGUGUGGGUGUGUGUGUGUGUGUGUGUGUGUGCGAAUGACUCAGAGAUAGAAUUUUAAAGACAUUUUUUGAUUUCUCUCCUACCCUG
rnacentral:lncRNA from 1 species